CGGGGUGUAGCAUAGUUGGUCUAGUGCGCCAGGCUGGGGGUCUGGAGAUCCCGGGUUCGAAUCCCGGCACCCCGACCA
rnacentral:tRNA from 1 species